UACGAAGGGGGCUAGCGUUGCUCGGAAUUACUGGGCGUAAAGGGCUCGUAGGCGGCCAACUAAGUCAGACGUGAAAUCCCUCGGCUUAACCGGGGAACUGCAUCUGAUACUGGAUGGCUUGAGUUCGGGAGAGGGAUGCGGAAUUCCAGGUGUAGCGGUGAAAUGCGUAGAUAUCUGGAGGAACACCGGUGGCGAAGGCGGCAUCCUGGACCGACACUGACGCUGAGGAGCGAAAGCCAGGGGAGCAAAGCAGG
rnacentral:rRNA from 1 species